rnacentral:rRNA from 1 species
UACGUAGGGACCGAGCGUUGUCCGGAAUCAUUGGCGUAAAGAGCGUGUAGGCGGCCACUUAAGUCCUGCGUGAAAUCUUGCGGCUCAACCGCAAGCGGUCGUGGGAAACUGGGUGGCUAGAGUGCGGGAGAGGAGAGUGGAAUUCCUGGUGUAGCGGUGGAAUGCGCAGAGUAUCAGGAGGAACACCGAUGGCGAAGGCAGGUCUCUGGGCCACUACUGACGCUGAGAAGCGAAAGCAUGGGGAGCGAACAGG